AAAAAAACAAGGAAAAAUACUUUGAACAACAGCUUAUUUGCAAGAACAAGGUCUAACAUGUGCAAAAGCAAAUUUCACAAGUGUACACUACAAGAAGAAAGAGGAUAAGCCAACACUAACAGGCUAAGUUGAAACUUGAAUUGGAGGUGGGUGGAGAAAGACGUGCCAGGAAUUAAGAUUCUGAUUUUGCAAAUUCUUUUCAGAAUUGUGAUUUGGUUCUUCAGAAAAAUCAGCACAAAUGAGGGCCCCACUCACAACACCCGGAGAUCAUUAAGGAGAGAAGAAAGAGUUUCAUGCCUUCAAGGGUUGAAGCAGUCUGGUCUACAAUGCAAGACACCCAGGCCAGGCAUUCAGAAUGUCAGUUCUUAGCUCAUUCAAAACAAUACCACCUGAAAUAAAGCAACAGGCGGUGAGAAAAGCUGUCAAGUCCCAAUUUGCAGUUUCUAGCAAAGAUCACAGCAAAAAAUAGACUCCAGAUUCAACUUGUCUUUAUUUCAACUCCUCAAGGGCUCAGUACCAGAUAACUGCUGGAAUUCUACACAUGCCUGCUGACCAGCUUUAUGCCUGCUUCUCCUCCUGCCUGGUUACCCAAUUAGUUCCUUGUUAACCACACACCUGCAGUGUCUUUCCCCUCAGGCUCUGCUCCUGUCUAUGUAGCUUUUAACCCCUUCUGUAUACAUUGUUUAAAACACCAUUAAGGUGCUCCUAUGGACGCCUGACAGAAUUGUUGGUGCCCCUUUGCUUACCAAAGUAAUUAGCUUACAGGGACAUCUCAUCUAAUGUACCUGCAAACUCAGGAAUAGAUCAAACUCCCCUGCCUGUGAAAGCUGCUGGGGCACUAGGAAGGCAGGCACAAUUCGUCCAGGUAAUCAAGUAACAGAGCAACACAGAGAAUGACUGAAGCAGGAUUUCCAGAGAUUUCAGUCAAAAGAAAGAUAGGAAAACAGCUGUCUCAUUAAACCAUCCAGAGCAACCCCCUACAAAAAGAAACCCUCCUGGGGAGCUGGAAGAGAAGGAUGAGCCAAGGAAGGAUAACUUGGUGUUAUACUGAAGACUUUUUCGCAGCUGCUAAAUUCUAGUGAAUUCCCAAAGCUUGGAAAGGACACGUGCUUUUGGGAAGAACAGGAGGUUGUGUAGGAGGAAGUUUAGAGAACUGAGAGCUCAGGAGGACAGGCACUUUCAGGAGUACCAGUUGGCCAUUCAACCAGGUGUCUGCUCACAGGCAGAAUUCUGACUUAAAAAACUAGACCAUACAAGAAUGGAGGAAGGAAGGACUGUAUAGAGGGAAAAGAGGGGUGGGAGGGGUGGGGGGAAGGGAAAAAAAUAACAGAAUGAAUCAAACAACAUGACCCUAUGUAAAUUUAUGAUUACACAAAUGGUAUGCCUUUACGCCAUGUACAAACAGAGAAACAACAUGUAUCCCAUUUGUUUACAAUGAAAAAAAAAAAAAACUAGACCAUAGUAUCCAUCCCCUACCCCCCCUUUCUUUGUCUCCACAUCAUUCAAAAAUAAAAUGACAUUAGAUAACCUCCCUUUUUAACACACUUUGGACACAUGAGCUGACAAGUAUUUAUCUUACCAUCUUCAUUAGUAAAAAAAGGAAAAAAAAAUUAAACUAUAAAAGGAAAAAUCAACAGAUUAUUUUAAAGCAUUGUGAACGAAUAAAGGCCAAGAAAUUUUUAAACUAAAAUGGGAUAUUUUAAGUAAGAAAAUCUUGCAAAUAUCCAGUCAUGCAGUGAUGAUGGAAUAAUCAGGGGUAAAAAGAGACUAGAAAAUAAUAUAUCCAUUUUCAAAAAGGAGAGAAGAUUCUUAAGAUUAUGAAUCUAGGCUUUGACAUUGAUUAUGACUUUAAGUUGUCGAUUAAUUAUUAAAUAAUCCAUUUGUCCGAAUAUAAAAAAAAGAAAAGGAGUAAUUGAUUUUUCACCAAAAAAUAACUCAUGCUAAAGCAGAAUGUGUAUGUGUUUGUUUGUUUUUCUCCUUCUGAAUCUGAUACCAGAUUGGAAAUUUAAAAACUUUCACCUUUCAAUAAAAAUAAAAAAUUGCCUGAUAUCAGCAAUGUUUUUAUACUAAGAUACCUUUCAAAAAGAUGAAUGAAAAUAUUUUGAACAUUGGAAUAAAGUUAAGGUUAGUUGAGCCAUGUUUCUUUAGGAAUAAAUAUACAUCCAAAGAGAAUUUUCAAGAUUGUAUUGCUAUU